rfam:Myotis brandtii contig191660, whole genome shotgun sequence.
GGCAGUUCUCGGGUGACGCACCCCGGAAUUGGGCUCCCUCCUCUUUGGUUCUGGGUGUGUUACCCAAGAACCGCA